rnacentral:rRNA from 1 species
AUGAGCGGCUACAUGUCGAGCAAGAAGGCGAUGGAGAUCAACUCCAAGAAUGCCAUCAUGGAGGAGCUGCGCAAGCACGCUGACGCAGACAAGAACGACAAGUUGCUCAAGGACGUGGUGAUGCUGCUGCUCACCUCGGGCUUCAGCCUCGACGACCCCAACACCUUCGGUACCAGGAUCCAUCGCAUGCUGAAGCUGGGCCUGAGCAUCGACGAGGAUGAGCCUGCUGAAGCUGACGCGGGAGUAAAUAGCAUAAAACUACUACUUUACAGGCUAGGGUUCCAAAAAACUACUGGUUUUUAA